rnacentral:rRNA from 1 species
UACGUAGGUCCCGAGCGUUGUCCGGAUUUAUUGGGUUUAAAGGGUGCGUAGGCGGGCUUUUAAGUCAGCGGUAAAAAUUCGGGGCUCAACCCCGUCCGGCCGUUGAAACUGGGGGUCUUGAGUGGGCGAGAAGAAGGCGGAAUGCGUGGUGUAGCGGUGAGAUGCUUAGAGAUCAUACAGAACACCGAUUGCGAAGGCAGCUUACCAAACUAUAUCUGACGUUGAGGCACGAAAGCGUGGGUAGCAAACAGG